rnacentral:lncRNA from 1 species
CUGUGAAGAAAGCCUUAGGUCUCCAGAGAAGGAGCACAGGAGGCCCUUACCUCAGUCACAUACUGCAGAAUAGCCAUCCGAGCCAGCUUUUCCUGGAUCACCCCAAAGUUGUGAAUUUUGUCCCCAAACUGGGUACGGUUAGUAGCAUGAUCAACCUGAAAGAAGGCACACGUCACCCACUGUGGUUCUGCAGUCUCCAUUUGGACGGGCUGGAGACCUAACUAUGCUGACAUGUGAGUGCAUGCAUGUGUCCAGGCUCCAAGGAAGGGUAUCAGAGACGGGCAAAGGGCGGUUCCUCCAGGCUGGCUAGAGGCUGAGCUGGGACUCACCGCCUUGGCAAUGAUGGCUUUCAUGGUGCCUGCUAGGGUUGCAGCCAUCCCAAAUCUUCCGUUGUUGAGGAUGUUGACAGCAACCUUGAAGCCAUCUCCCACUUCUCCUAGCACAUUCUCUGCUGGCACCUUGACUCCAUCAAAGUACACCUCUGAUGUGUUAGAUGCCUUGAUGCCCAUCUUCUUUUCGGGGAGCCCACUGAAAAGGCAGGGCAGGAAAGUUGAGGUGUGAACAGGUUGCUGUGGGGGAAAAUGGCCUUUUCAGUUCUCAUGAUCAGGGGAGAACUUCCCAGACUAUAAAAAGAACACAGGCACUGCCCAGGUGCCCAGAGGGCUACAGAUAUCUAGCUAUGACCUGUUACCUGGUGUUCCCCCAGGGAAACAAAGGGCUCUUACAGAGAUAGCCCCAGUGUGGCCUGUAAUGACUGUUUGAGAGCCCAGUGCUGUCACCUUGAUUCUGCUGUAUUGCCCCCACACACUCACUUGGUAACCCCUCCAAAGCUCCCUGAUUCUGUUGUAUUUGCCUAUACAUACUCACUGGGUAACCCCUCCAAAGCUCCGUUCCACUACGAAAGCUGUGAUCUUCUCUUUCACGGCCCCCGUGGCUGCAUCUUUAAUUGGCGUUUUGGCAAAGACAGUGAAAAUGUCUGCCAGACCCCCAUUACUGUGGAAGAAUGAGGUGAUUAGUACAGGGCUCAGGGCAGCAGGGUCAGGACAUGAGGCUGAAGGGAAGAAGAGGAAGAUUGCCUGAUCCAGAUCUUGCUUCCGUUGAGAGUAUAAUACUUUCCACAGGGGCUAGGUACAGCUGAGCUUCGGAUAGAGGCCACAUCGGACCCGCUCGAGGGCUCAGUCAGGCAGAAAGCCGCCAAAGCCUGCCCUGUGGGGAGAGAACUGCUUCACUGGGGAUCGUGACCAUUAAAGUCGCCCCCCUGUCAUGC